UACAGAGGGUGCGAGCGUUAAUCGGAGUUACUGGGCGUAAAGGGCGCGUAGGCGGUUAUAUAAGUGAGAUGUGAAAUCCCUGGGCUUAACCUAGGAACUGCAUCUCAUACUGUAUGACUGGAGUAUUGUAGAGGUAGUGGAAUUUCCGGUGUAGCGGUGAAAUGCGUAGAGAUCGGAAGGAACACCAGUGGCGAAGGCGGCUACCUGGACAAAUACUGACGCUGAGGCGCGAGAGCGUGGGGAGCAAACAGG
rnacentral:rRNA from 1 species